UCAGGACCAAUAAGGAUUUCCCACUGAAUUACCACUAAUCUGACAAGGCAGUGGGGGAUAUUUUAAUUAUUGUGUUUAGAAAAAAGUCUGUUUCAACUAUGUUAGAGCAAUGAGAAUGACACUCAUCUGAGCUCAUGAGGCUAACUGAAUGUCUCUUAUUUGUCAACCACUUGGAAGCAUUAAAAGUUUUCUAAGCACUGCAGUUCCUGAAGCACACUGGGAUGUCACAAGGGAGGCAUCUUACUCAGUGACUCUCUUUCCAGACAUGUCCCUCCUCUGGGAUCAGCUUAACUCGGCAGGGGAUCCUCCUCAACCACCUGACUAUUCUCAGAAGUCCAUGGUUUGAAGCAUAAAGUGGGUCCUGAAACUGCCUAAAAUGAUCUUGCCCAGAUCUUUUCAUUAUCCCACACACAAUUAUCCAAAUUGAAUUUUCACUUCUUUCUUCCUGUAGUCUAUUGUAUAUAUCAUUUCUUCUGUUUCCCCAGUUACUAUCUUAGUGGCAAUCAAAGCAUUCCAAACCUGGGUCUUGAGGUUUAGUAUCUCCCAAAAGCUCAUGUGUGAGAUAUUGCAAGACAGUAUACAGUUUGAACGAUUGGGUUAUGAGAGCCUUACCCCAAUCAGUGAAAUAAUCCUCUGACAAGAUAAUUAAAUGGUGACUGAACUUCAGGUAGAGUAUGGCUGGAGGAGGUGGGUCCCUAGGAGCAUGCUUUGAGAUAUAUAUUUUGUUCCUGGAAAGUGAAGUCUCUCUCUGUCUACUUCCUUGUGCCAUGUUCCCAGCGGCUUUACUCUACCACACACUUCUGCCAUGAUGUUCUGCUUUACCCCAGGCCUCUCAAAAUGGAGUCAUCAAUCUAUGAACUGAGACCUCUGGAACCAUGAGCUCUCAAAUAAACUUUUCCUCCACUAGUUGUUCUUGUCAGGUCUUUGAUGGUCACAGCAGCGAAAAAGCUGAUUAAAACACUGGACUUUCAUCCUUUCUAAAGAUAAUUGUUUUCUUAACCACAAGUAUUAGAAUUUGCUUUGUUCCAUGUGAAACUAAAAUAGAUAAUUAAAAUUCUUACUUCAAGAAAUCUACAAAUUAAUUGUGAAAAUUAAUUUGAAUACAGAUAAAAAUUUGAUUUUCUUGUAUUACAUGUAAUAAAAUUUGAAAAACAGAGAAGGAGUAAUACUGGGGACUGAAAUGGAGAAAGCAGAUAUCUUGUUUAUGACUACAUCAGAAUGAACUUUACCAUUUUGUAAAUAACCAUAAUGCAUUA
rnacentral:lncRNA from 1 species